CACACAACACACAACAACAUCGCACCGCGCGCCGUAUAGAGAGUGCGGCUCAGCACAAAUAGCCAAGUCAUAUUAACACCAAAACAACGUGUCACCCAGGAGAGCAGCGACAGUAGGAUGAAAUAACAGCAAAAAUUUAAAUAACAACAACAAGAGCAGCAGACAUGCAGGCUGAUAGUAGCAGCAAUAAAAUCGUUUUAUCGUAAAAGGAAGAGAACACAAAUAGCAACGACAACAAAAACAUUAACAAUAACAAAAAUAAUGUCAAAAAA